UUAAGUUAUUAAGGGCGCACGGUGGAUGCCUUGGCACUAGAAGCCGAUGAAGGACGUUACUAACGACGAUAUGCUUUGGGGAGCUGUAAGUAAGCUUUGAUCCAGAGAUUUCCGAAUGGGGAAACCCAACAUGAGUUAUGUCAUGUUAUCGAUAUGUGAAUACAUAGCAUAUCAGAAGGCACACCCGGAGAACUGAAACAUCUUAGUACCCGGAGGAAGAGAAAGAAAAUUCGAUUCCCUUAGUAGCGGCGAGCGAAACGGGAAGAGCCCAAACCAACAAGCUUGCUUGUUGGGGUUGUAGGACACUCUAUACGGAGUUACAAAGGACGACAUUAGACGAAUCAUCUGGAAAGAUGAAUCAAAGAAGGUAAUAAUCCUGUAGUCGAAAAUGUUGUCUCUCUUGAGUGGAUCCUGAGUACGACGGAGCACGUGAAAUUCCGUCGGAAUCUGGGAGGACCAUCUCCUAAGGCUAAAUACUCUCUAGUGACCGAUAGUGAACCAGUACCGUGAGGGAAAGGUGAAAAGCACCCCGGAAGGGGAGUGAAAUAGAACCUGAAACCGUGUGCUUACAAGUAGUCAGAGCCCGUUAAUGGGUGAUGGCGUGCCUUUUGUAGAAUGAACCGGCGAGUUACGAUUUGAUGCAAGGUUAAGCAGUAAAUGUGGAGCCGUAGCGAAAGCGAGUCUGAAUAGGGCGUUUAGUAUUUGGUCGUAGACCCGAAACCAGGUGAUCUACCCUUGGUCAGGUUGAAGUUCAGGUAACACUGAAUGGAGGACCGAACCGACUUACGUUGAAAAGUGAGCGGAUGAACUGAGGGUAGCGGAGAAAUUCCAAUCGAACCUGGAGAUAGCUGGUUCUCUCCGAAAUAGCUUUAGGGCUAGCCUCAAGUGAUGAUUAUUGGAGGUAGAGCACUGUUUGGACGAGGGGCCCCUCUCGGGUUACCGAAUUCAGACAAACUCCGAAUGCCAAUUAAUUUAACUUGGGAGUCAGAACAUGGGUGAUAAGGUCCGUGUUCGAAAGGGAAACAGCCCAGACCACCAGCUAAGGUCCCAAAAUAUAUGUUAAGUGGAAAAGGAUGUGGCGUUGCCCAGACAACUAGGAUGUUGGCUUAGAAGCAGCCAUCAUUUAAAGAGUGCGUAAUAGCUCACUAGUCGAGUGACACUGCGCCGAAAAUGUACCGGGGCUAAACAUAUUACCGAAGCUGUGGAUUGUCCUUUGGACAAUGGUAGGAGAGCGUUCUAAGGGCGUUGAAGCAUGAUCGUAAGGACAUGUGGAGCGCUUAGAAGUGAGAAUGCCGGUGUGAGUAGCGAAAGACGGGUGAGAAUCCCGUCCACCGAUUGACUAAGGUUUCCAGAGGAAGGCUCGUCCGCUCUGGGUUAGUCGGGUCCUAAGCUGAGGCCGACAGGCGUAGGCGAUGGAUAACAGGUUGAUAUUCCUGUACCACCUAUAAUCGUUUUAAUCGAUGGGGGGACGCAGUAGGAUAGGCGAAGCGUGCGAUUGGAUUGCACGUCUAAGCAGUAAGGCUGAGUAUUAGGCAAAUCCGGUACUCGUUAAGGCUGAGCUGUGAUGGGGAGAAGACAUUGUGUCUUCGAGUCGUUGAUUUCACACUGCCGAGAAAAGCCUCUAGAUAGAAAAUAGGUGCCCGUACCGCAAACCGACACAGGUAGUCAAGAUGAGAAUUCUAAGGUGAGCGAGCGAACUCUCGUUAAGGAACUCGGCAAAAUGACCCCGUAACUUCGGGAGAAGGGGUGCUCUUUAGGGUUAACGCCCAGAAGAGCCGCAGUGAAUAGGCCCAAGCGACUGUUUAUCAAAAACACAGGUCUCUGCUAAACCGUAAGGUGAUGUAUAGGGGCUGACGCCUGCCCGGUGCUGGAAGGUUAAGAGGAGUGGUUAGCUUCUGCGAAGCUACGAAUCGAAGCCCCAGUAAACGGCGGCCGUAACUAUAACGGUCCUAAGGUAGCGAAAUUCCUUGUCGGGUAAGUUCCGACCCGCACGAAAGGCGUAACGAUUUGGGCACUGUCUCAACGAGAGACUCGGUGAAAUCAUAGUACCUGUGAAGAUGCAGGUUACCCGCGACAGGACGGAAAGACCCCGUGGAGCUUUACUGUAGCCUGAUAUUGAAAUUCGGCACAGCUUGUACAGGAUAGGUAGGAGCCUUUGAAACGUGAGCGCUAGCUUACGUGGAGGCGCUGGUGGGAUACUACCCUAGCUGUGUUGGCUUUCUAACCCGCACCACUUAUCGUGGUGGGAGACAGUGUCAGGCGGGCAGUUUGACUGGGGCGGUCGCCUCCUAAAAGGUAACGGAGGCGCUCAAAGGUUCCCUCAGAAUGGUUGGAAAUCAUUCAUAGAGUGUAAAGGCAUAAGGGAGCUUGACUGCGAGACCUACAAGUCGAGCAGGGUCGAAAGACGGACUUAGUGAUCCGGUGGUUCCGCAUGGAAGGGCCAUCGCUCAACGGAUAAAAGCUACCCCGGGGAUAACAGGCUUAUCUCCCCCAAGAGUUCACAUCGACGGGGAGGUUUGGCACCUCGAUGUCGGCUCAUCGCAUCCUGGGGCUGUAGUCGGUCCCAAGGGUUGGGCUGUUCGCCCAUUAAAGCGGUACGCGAGCUGGGUUCAGAACGUCGUGAGACAGUUCGGUCCCUAUCCGUCGUGGGCGUAGGAAAUUUGAGAGGAGCUGUCCUUAGUACGAGAGGACCGGGAUGGACAUACCUCUGGUGUACCAGUUGUCGUGCCAACGGCAUAGCUGGGUAGCUAUGUGUGGACGGGAUAAGUGCUGAAAGCAUCUAAGCAUGAAGCCCCCCUCAAGAUGAGAUUUCCCAACUUCGGUUAUAAGAUCCCUCAAAGAUGAUGAGGUUAAUAGGUUCGAGGUGGAAGCAUGGUGACAUGUGGAGCUGACGAAUACUAAUCGAUCGAAGACUUAAUCAA
rnacentral:rRNA from 2 species